GAUGAACGCUGGCGGCGUGCCUAACACAUGCAAGUCGAACGGAGAUUAUUCGCUGCGGAGCCUUCGGGCGAAGCUUGAAUGAUCUUAGUGGCGGACGGGUGAGUAACGCGUGGGCAACCUGCCUUGCACAGGGGGAUAGCAGUUGGAAACGACUGGUAAUACCGCAUAUCUUAGAGAGACCGCAUGAUCUUUUUAAGAAAACGUUAGUGGUGCAAGAUGGGCCCGCGUCCGAUUAGAUAGUUGGUGGGGUAACGGCCUACCAAGUCGACGAUCGGUAGCCGACCUAAGAGGGCGGACGGCCACAUUGGGACUGAGACACGGCCCAGACUCCUACGGGAGGCAGCAGUGGGGAAUAUUGCACAAUGGAGGGAACUCUGAUGCAGCGACGCCGCGUGAGUGAAGAAGUAUUUCGGUAUGUAAAGCUCUAUCAGUAGGGAAGAU
rnacentral:rRNA from 1 species